rnacentral:rRNA from 1 species
UACGGGGGGGGUAAGCGUUGUUCGGAAUUACUGGGCGUAAAGGGCUCGUAGGCGGCCAACUAAGUCGGACGUGAAAUCCCUCAGCUUAACUGGGGAACUGCGUCCGAUACUGGAUGGCUUGGAUUUGGGAGAGGGAUGCGGAAUUCCAGGUGUAGCGGUGAAAUGCGUAGAUAUCUGGAGGAACACCGGUGGCGAAGGCGGCAUCCUGGACCAAUAUUGACGCUGAGGAGCGAAAGCCGGGGGAGCAAACGGG